rnacentral:rRNA from 1 species
UACAGAGGGGGCAAGCGUUAUUCGGAAUUAUUGGGCGUAAAGGGCGCGUAGGCGGUCUGACAAGUGGAAGGUGAAAUCCCCGCGCUUAACGUGGAAACUGCCUUCCAAACUGUUUGACUUGAGUCCGGGAGAGGUGAGUGGAAUUCCCAGUGUAGCGGUGAAAUGCGUAGAUAUUGGGAGGAACACCAGUGGCGAAGGCGGCUCACUGGACCGGAACUGACGCUGAGGCGCGAAAGCGUGGGGAGCAAACAGG